rnacentral:rRNA from 1 species
AGAAUCAACGCUGGCGGCGUGCCUAACACAUGCAAGUCGAACGCGAAAGUCCCGCAAGGGAUAAGUAGAGUGGCAAACGGGUGAGUAACACGUGGGUGACCUGCCUUCGAGUGGGGGAUAACGUCCCGAAAGGGACGCUAAUACCGCAUGACAUCCUGUCUUUGGAAAGACGGAGAUCAAAAGCGUGGGGAUCGCAAGACCUGGCGCUUGAAGGACGGGGCCCGCGCCUGAUUAGCUAGUUGGUGGGGUAACGGCCUACCGAAGGCGACGAUCAGUA